CCUACGGGUGGCAGCAGUGAGGAAUAUUGGUCAAUGGCCGGAAGGCUGAACUAGCCAUGCCGCGUGAAGGUCAGUGCCCUAUGGGCUUUAAACUUCUUUUGUGCGGGAGCAAUAAUGGUCACGUGUGGCCAGACGAGAGUACCGUACGAAUAAGCAUCGGCUAACUCCGUGCCAGCAGCCGCGGUAAUACGGGGGAUGCAAGCGUUAUCCGGAUUUAUUGGGUUUAAAGGGUGCGUCGGCGGUGUGGUAAGUCAGCGGUGAAAUGCCCCGGGUCAACGGGGUGAAGUGCCAUUGAUACUGGCUGGCUGGAAUGCGGAUGCGGUGGGAGGAAUGUGUGGUGUAGCGGUGAAAUGCGUAGAGAUCAGGAGGAACACCGGUGGCGAAGGCGGCCUGCUGGACUGCAACUGACGUUGAGGCCCGAAAGCGUGGGGAGCAAACAGGAUUAGAUACCCUAGUAGUC
rnacentral:rRNA from 1 species